CCUACGGGGGGCUGCAGUGAGGAAUAUUUGUCAAUGGACGAGAGUCUGAACCAGCCAAGUAGCGUGAAGGAUGACUGCCCUAUGGGUUGUAAACUUCUUUUAUAUGGGAAUAAAAUGUUCCACGUGUGGGAUUUUGUAUGUACCAUAUGAAUAAGGAUCGGCUAACUCCGUGCCAGCAGCCGCGGUAAUACGGAGGAUCCGAGCGUUAUCCGGAUUUAUUGGGUUUAAAGGGAGCGUAGGUGGAUUGUUAAGUCAGUUGUGAAAGUUUGCGGCUCAACCGUAAAAUUGCAGUUGAAACUGGCAGUCUUGAGUACAGUAGAGGUGGGCGGAAUGCGUGGUGUAGCGGUGAAAUGCUUAGAUAUCACGAAGAACUCCGAUUGCGAAGGCAGUUCACUGGACUGCAACUGACACUGAGGCUCGAAAGUGUGGGUAUCAAACAGGAUUAGAUACCCUUGUAGUC
rnacentral:rRNA from 1 species